AUUUGAGUAGUUUAAUAAAAAUUUUAAUUUGUGGGAUUAAAGAAGUAAAUUAAAAUUAUCUCAAAUU
rnacentral:tRNA from 1 species